UAUAAGAGUACCGACGAACUCUGCCACCACCUGAUAUGAUUGAGCAAUUAUCAGUCAGAUGCAAAGACAAUCAAGUUCAGUCAGAUGAAGGUAAGAUGAAGGGCUCUACCGGGCUGGUUUGUAUGUUGUGGCAAGUAAACUAUAGCAUCGGAGCCCAUGAUGAAAGGGUCCUUGCAACUGCAAGAGUUCAUUGUCUGUCGUGUACAGAUACAUGGCAUCGGAUGCCCCAUAAUUUUAUUCGAGCAAUGCUAAACAAUGGAACUGCUAAUAUUUGCUGCAAUAAACUGUGAUUUCAAGGGAUAUUUGUAUAUCGCAUUUCCCAAAGAUAGGAAACCCCUACUUAUUUGCCAAGGUGAUGCACUGGUGCUAGUGCAUUGUUGCUCAUUCUCAUCAUUCAUACAGAAUUCUAAAUUUGUUAUGCUCCAUUUAUAUUAGAUUCUUUCUUCCUUCCCUUUUA